GACGCAGGGGGCCAGCGUUGUUCGGAAUUACUGGGUGUAAAGGGUUCGUAGGCGGUGUGGCAAGUCGGGAGUGAAAUCUAUGGGCUUAACUCAUAUGCUGCUUCCGAAACUGCUGUGCUUGAGUGUGGGAGAGGCGCGUGGAAUUGCAGGUGUAGCGGUGAAAUGCGUAGAUACCUGCAGGAACACCCGUGGCGAAAGCGGCGCGCUGGACCACAACUGACGCUGAGGAACGAAAGCUAGGGGAGCAAACAGG
rnacentral:rRNA from 1 species